AGGAAUUUCUCGAGCCCUAAUCGAAGAAUUGCAUCCGUAAGGACCGUAACUAUACUAGUGACAUACUAAUAUACUAUACAGACUAUACACUCCAUUAUUUAGAAAUCAGAUUCCUCAAAACCCUAAUCUGCAAUUGGGGCAUGCACCUAUUCUAAUCUGUGUGUUUAGAGUGGGCUCGUUGAUAACUAUUCAACAGACUUGGGCCGAGACUAAGGCUUGUUAACGCACAAGCAGCCCAAACAACGUUACAUUUGGCUGCUUUAGAGUAAAUACCCAUACCAUUUUCUUCUUCAUCUUCUUUUCCACCAUUGUUGCCUGCUAUGAAGAUAUUUAAGUGAUGGAAUCAUCGGGUUUGAUUGUUGAGAAAUUUAUCAAGUAUGUCACUGAGGAAGAUGUCUUCUCGGAUGAACUGCGAUUCCCUGCGGAUAUGCGUCAAAACUUGGUGAUCUUGUUGGUAAGAAACUCCUCUUGAAAUUGAAAACUGAUUAUUGUUUGGAAGUAACAUAUAAUAAGGGUUUGGGGAAAAUGAUUGGUGUUGAAGCCCUCUACUCUGAUUUUCACUUAGAAGGCAGGGAGUUGUUGGUUUUUGAGUUUGCAGGUGACGGUAAUUUAAACGUAUAUAUAAUUGGGAGGGAUUUUUGUGAGGUUGAGUAUCCAAAUGUUGUUCAUGCACUACAGGAAAUUGGUCCCUGAAAAGGUAUUAUUACAAAUUUUUUACAACUAUUGAUGUCACACUGUACUUAUUCAGCUGGUUCACGUAUCUGUAUUAUUCAGCUGGUUCACGUAUCUGUAUUUUUCAGUGUCUCUUAUGAAGGGAUGGCUGAAGUUUGUGAAGUUUAUAACCGAGUCUGAACCUAUAGUGGUUUAAAAGAAUAUGUUUAAAUUUUGUUCCCUCUUCAUAUGAUGGUUAUUUAAUUUUGUUUGUUAAAAUAAUCCAAAUUAUUGACAACUCUUUUGGAAAUAUUAAUAGUGUACAUUUUUUUAAAGUGGGCUCAUGAUUAUGCAUCCAA